rnacentral:rRNA from 1 species
ACCUAUUAGGAGCCAGCCGCCUAAGGUGGGAUAGAUGAUUGGGGUGAAGUCGUAACAAGGUAGCCGUAUCGGAAGGUGCGGCUGGAUCACCUCCUUUCUAAGGAAAUGGAACACGUUAGGGUCGUCUUAUUUAGUUUUGAGAGGUCUUGUGGGGCCUUAGCUCAGCUGGGAGAGCGCCUGCUUUGCACGCAGGAGGUCAGCGGUUCGAUCCCGCUAGGCUCCAUUAGGAUAGAGAUAUCCUAAAAAUUGUCCAUUGAAAAUUGAAUAUCUAUAUCAAAUUCCACGAUCAAGAAAUUGAUUGUACGAAUAGUAACAAGAAAAUAAACCGAAAACGCUGUGAAUAAUCAAGAGUUUUUCUAGUUAAGAUAUACUAGUAAAAGAUAAGGUUAAGUUAAUAAGGGCGCACGGUGGAUGCCUUGGCACUAGAAGCCGAAGAAGGACGUGACUAACGACGAAAUGCUUUGGGGAGCUGUAAGUAAGCGCUGAUCCAGAGAUGUCCGAAUGGGGGAACCCACUAGCUACUGGCUAGUAUCCAUAACUGUUAAGGUUAUGAGAAGGAAGACGCAGUGAACUGAA